GCCCCUUUAGCUCAAUCGGUAGAGCAACUGACUCUUAAUCAGUAGGUUGUCGGUUCGAUUCCGACAGGGGGCA
rnacentral:tRNA from 1 species